CAGUAGCCGCGGUAAUACGAAGGGUGCAAGCGUUAAUCGGAAUUACUGGGCGUAAAGCGUGCGUAGGCGGUGAGUUAAGUCUGCUGUGAAAUCCCCGGGCUCAACCUGGGAAUGGCAAUGGAUACUGGCAAGCUAGAGUGUGUCAGAGGAUGGUGGAAUUCCCGGUGUAGCGGUGAAAUGCGUAGAGAUCGGGAGGAACAUCAGUGGCGAAGGCGGCCAUCUGGGACAACACUGACGCUGAGGCACGAAAGCGUGGGGAGCAAACAGGAUUAGAUACCCCCGUAGUCCCUGUCUCUUAUAC
rnacentral:rRNA from 1 species